rnacentral:rRNA from 1 species
UACGUAGGUGGCAAGCGUUGUCCGGAAUUAUUGGGCGUAAAGCGCGCGCAGGCGGUCUUUUAAGUCUGAUGUGAAAGCCCCCGGCUCAACCGGGGAGGGUCAUUGGAAACUGGGAGACUUGAGUGCAGAAGAGAAGAGUGGAAUUCCACGUGUAGCGGUGAAAUGCGUAGAGAUGUGGAGGAACACCAGUGGCGAAGGCAGCUCGCUGGGACGGUACUGACGCUGAGACGCGAAAGCGUGGGGAGCAAACAGG